GUGCUCGCUUGGGCAGCACAUAUACUAAAACUGGAAUGAUACAGAGAAAAUUAGCAUGGCCCCUAUGCAAGGAUGACAUGCAAAUUCAUGAAGCGUUCCAUAAGAAA